UAUCAUUAUUAAAUAAAGGUGAUUGAUAUCGUUUACUAGAGUCAUAAAGUGCGCAAACGAAAUGAAUUUAUACCCUUUUAACGUUCUUAUCGUGUUUUUAGUAUUUAUGAACGUUAGAUUUAAAGAUGUUGAAACUGAAGAAGUAAAGACAUGUCACUAUCGUUAUGCAUUAAACUGUGCAAAAUUUUGCCAAAUCAAAGGAACAGUCGCUAGUAACUGUUGGCCUGGAUUAUGCAGCUGUAAAUCAGGAUAAAGACAUUGUCCUUUAUAUUAUAUUAUUGAUGUAUUUUAAAUGUAGUUUAUUAUAUACAUUGUCAUAACUUCCUUAGAUUAUGCUUAAAUACACAUACGAAUUAUAAAAACAAAUAAAGAAUAUUAUUAUCACUA